AGUGAACGCUGGCGGCGUGCUUAACACAUGCAAGUCGAACGAGAACGGAUUAUAGCUUGCUAUAAUUGACAGCUAAGUGGCGCACGGGUGAGUAAUGUAUAGGUAAUAUGCCUCUUACUAAGGGAUAACAAAUGGAAACGUUUGCUAAUACCUUAUACUCCUUAUUAACAUAAGUUAAUAAGGGAAAGAUUUAUUGGUAAGAGAUUAGCCUGUAUUGUAUCAGUUAGUUGGUGGGGUAAUGGCUUACCAAGACUAUGACACAUAACUGGUUUGAGAGGAUGAUCAGUCACACUGGAACUGAGACACGGUCCAGACUCCUACGGGAGGCAGCAGUGGGGAAUAUUGCACAAUGGACGAAAGUCUGAUGCAGCAACGCCGCGUGGAGGAUGACACAUUUCGGUGCGUAAACUCCUUUUAUAUGAGAAGAUAAUGACGGUAUUAUAUGAAUAAGCACCGGCUAACUCCGUGCCAGCCGCCGCAGUAAGAC
rnacentral:rRNA from 1 species